rnacentral:rRNA from 1 species
GAUGAACGCUAGCUACAGGCUUAACACAUGCAAGUCGCGGGGCAGCAUGGGGGUUGCUUGCAAUCCCCGAUGGCGACCGGCGCACGGGUGAGUAACGCGUAUCCAACCUGCCCUUCACCACGGGAUAACCCGGCGAAAGUCGGACUAAUACCGUAUGUUGUCCAUUGACGGCAUCCGAUUUGGACGAAAAGCUUGGCGGUGAGGGAGGGGGAUGCGUCCGAUUAGCCAGACGGCGGGGGAACGGGCCACCGUGGCUACGAUCGGUAGGGGUUCUGAGAGGAAGGUCCCCCACACUGGAACUGAGACACGGUCCAGACUCCUACGGGAGGCAGCAGUGAGGAAUAUUGGUCAAUGGGCGUAAGCCUGAACCAGCCAAGUAGCGUGCAGGAUGACGGCCCUAUGGGUUGUAAACUGCUUUUAUGCGGGGAUAAAGUGGCCCACGUGUGGGCUUUUGCAGGUACCGCAUGAAUAAGGACCGGCUAAUUCCGUG